UUUAUAUAUUGGUCACAUAUUUUAAAAUUUGUUGGUCACAAAUUAUCUACUUUUAAGGUCACGGUUAAAUAGUUGGUCAUAGGUUAAAUAGUCGGUCACCACCAACUCCAACACCGCCACCACAACAGCACCACCAACAAAAUCGCCUCCACCAGAUCCACUUCCACCACCCCGAUUGCCACCACCAAACAAACCAACAAUACCCAACCUACAACCUUACCACAGUCUCCAUCGCCAACACAACCACCACCAGAAACCACCACAGCCACCAGGAUCAUAACCACCAUCAACAACACCAACACCAUCGUAUACAAAGCCAUCGUCAGGGCCACCACCACCACCGCCAGAGCCAUUGCACGCCGACAAGGCCACCGCCACCGCCACUCAAAAGACCCAACAAACCCUACUGAACACACACAGAGAGCCACCGUCAAGACAACCAACACCGCACCUACAACACACCCACUCAAAAACCCAAAGAAACCCGCUGCACAUCGGCGAGGAUUCACGGCACACCCAUUCCAAUGCUCUUCAAUAGCUCUACCUUCACCGCACACCAUUCCAACGCUUUUCACGACACACCACUCAAGCGAAUCAUCACUGCAUAUGGCAGCACUCCUCUGUAUUAGGCGCUGCUAUUUCGUGUAUCGUAGAGCUGCAACGACAGUCCUUCCCAAGGUGAUUCUCUCGGUUGCAUCGACGAGGCGAUAGAUCUUGCACAGUGAUUCUCUCGACUGUAACAGCGAGGCGAUGUCGGUGUUGUGCUGGGCUGUGUGACCUAUCACACAUAGUGAUUCUCUUUGUUGCAGGGGCGAGGCAACGACACUGUUGGUGUCUCCAGUGGCUCGCGCUUCUCAGGCUGCACCUCCGAUGCCAAUGGUGCCAUGUCACUGGAAAUAGCGUGUUGCCGAAGAAGAGACACGACAUAAAGAGGGGAAAUGUUGAGAAAGAAAGGGGAAACAGAUCUAGGGUUUGGAGUGUAAGAGGUGUGGUGGUUUAAUUAUAACACCUGAUUUUUUAUUAAUUAAACUUUGCACCUAAAUUUUUUAAAGUGAUCUUUAAACAUCUGUUAUUGUGUAAUUUUCCCCCUAUAACAAUUGUAUGUGUUUG
rnacentral:lncRNA from 1 species